CUUGACCGAGCCGAGCCACAGCGGGCGGUCCUCGGUGUGCUCGGCGCCGUAGGUGGCGAUCAGCGCCUGGGCCUC
rfam:Streptomyces hygroscopicus subsp. jinggangensis 5008, complete genome.